UCUACACCAUAAAAACCACCACCGAUUGUACGACAACAAAUCCUUUUGAUCAAGUUCAAACGGAACAAUCACCGGUCGAACCUCCGCUCCACCACACCGGAUUCACGACGAUGCAAGGAGCUACCACCAUCCAUAAUUUUCUCUCGCCGCAGGUUUGAAUGCAAUUCGGUUAACUAAUGCAGCAGGUACCUGAAUAUGUGAUGCUGAGUUGUGGUUUGUUGGCAGGCUGAUUUGUGCAGGGCUCAUGGUUCAUCAUAGUGAGGUUGGAAUAUGCUGAGUGUCUUGGACUGAAUUUCCUGGAUCGUUUCGAUUUGGCAGGUUAUUACUCUGAAUUCAUUAAUGCAUAAUUCAAGUCAGUUUUGGAUUGAAUGAUAUUGAACGGGUUAUGAUGUGCAUAUGGAAAUGAAUGGUAUGGUUUGAUUUAGUGUAUGGUUUAAGAUUGUUAAUGUGUAUAUGGUGAAAAUGCUGCCUUGUGUGAUCCUGUUCUGACUUAUGACUUAUGAGUUGUAUUGAAAAUUACUUUACUGGUUUGUAUCAAAAUAAUAUAAAUCUGAGAUGUUAAUCUCUCUUACCUUAUUUUUCUACAUUCUUCGAGCAUUAUUGUUGUUGUUUAUGUUCUAAGAGUUUGAUCUUAUUGCUGUUGUUUAUGUUCUAAGAGUUUGAUCUUAAUACUACAAAUCUUCCUAUUGAGAAAAUUAAGAAAUGUGUUGGUGACCCUGAAGCUGAUGUGGAGAAUGAAGUUCUAAAGAUCGAACAAACAACACAGAUUGGGGGAGGAUCUCGUGGCGAUGUAACCAUCUUGCCAAGACAGAAGUGCUAAUGUAACUGCUUGCAAGUUCUCCACUGCGAUCUCGUUCUCGAUCUCACUCCAUUUCUUCUGCGUGAUCUCUAUCUUUCUCCAUUCCAAUCUCUAUCAUCAUAUUUUAAUUGGAAGAAAUUAUUGGAUACUCUUCUGCAUUUCUAACUUUCUUAUUUAUUAUUGUUACUCCCUCCCCUGCAAUAUGUAUUAGCAUGGAAGUAAAAUGGAAGUAAAGUUUAUGAGCAGAAGAAGAAAAAAAGUAUAGAAGAAAAUGUCAAUAACAUUACUUGUAGCACUCUAUCAGUUUAGACAGCAGAACCUUCCAGCAUGUAAACCUGUCCUUACACCUGCAGCAGUCAUUUCUACAUUUCUAUUGAUGGGUUUAAUUUUUAUUCCUGUUGGAAUUGUUACACUUCGUGCAUCGUAUAAUGUGGUUGAAAUUGUGGACAGAUAUGACAAUGACUGUGUACCCGAAGAAUACCGUGAUUUCGCUCUCAUGACUAUUUUGAAACUACUCUAAAUUUUAUCUUCUGACCUCUAGAUGGAAACAUGUAAUAUUUAUAUAGAUGACCUUAUUUGUUUGGUGCAAAGACUUCAUGCUGUAAGUUAUACUCUGUGUUUUUGUCUAAAUCAUUAUGUUUUAGACAAGAUGUCAUACACAUAUAUUCAUGUUAUGAAAUUAUGGUAUCCAAUCAUGAGAAUUUUAUUAAAUAAGUG